AUUGAACGCUGGCGGCAGGCCUAACACAUGCAAGUCGAGCGAGCGGCGGACGUGUGAGUAAUGUAUGGGGACUGCCCGAUAGAGGGGGAUAACUACUGGAAACGGUGGCUAAUACCGCAUACUAUCGGAUAACCCAUAUGGGAUUAGCUAGUAGGGGGGGUAAAGGCUCACCUAGGCGACUAUCUCUAGCUGGUCUGAGAGGAUGAUAAGCCAAACGGGGACUUAGACACGGCCCAGACUACAAGGGAGGCAGCAGGGGGGAAUAGGGCACAAUGGGCGCAAGCCUGAUGCAGCCAGGCGGCGUGUAUGAAGAAGGCCUUAGGGUUGUAAAGUACUUUCAGCGGGGAGGCGUUACCCGCAGAAGAAGCACCGGCUAACUCCGUGCCAGCAGCCGCGGUAAUUC
rnacentral:rRNA from 1 species